CCAGGCCUAGAAGAAAAAAGGGGGGAAGUGCCAGACAAGGGUGCUAUUCACGGACUGGGCUGGGUCAAAUAACCCCAAGUGGGGGGAGGCAGGAGGCCUUGAACAGCACGGAGUAGGAAGGACCCCGGCAGGUGGGCUGUUGAAGGCACAGGUAUGGACAGGAGAAGGCACAGCAGGUGUAGUGCCCCCACCAGCCCCAAUACGCCACUCCACACCAGCAAGCCUGCGCCUCCGAGGGGAGGUUCCCACCAGUUCCUGAUGAAUGGGGGAUUUCCACUGCCAGGCCUCGGAGACCCGUUGCUGCCGGCGCUUUCCUACUGUGGCCGCCAGAAGGAGGAGCCUUGAGCCCGGAAACCCUUCCCGCUGUCCCUGCGUCCCUAGGUCACGUCUGGUAGUCGUGGGAGGCCACUGCUGCUGUCUCGGGUUGGGUGGAUGGGAAAGGACUUUAAAAUAUUUUGACUUAAGAGAGCUAGUUCCAUUUGACUGUCAGGAAGUGGGCGGGGCUGGGUCGCGUACUUACAUUGUGUUGUUCAACUUGGACUUGGCUGACCUUAAGGAGUCCUGUGACCUUGACCAAAUCAUUUGUGCUUUGGUUUCUUCAUCAGUGCACCGGGAAUAAUUACUUUGCCUCCUCUGCCUUCCCAUUGGCCUACGUAGAGGGUAUAAUAUAAUGUGCUUAAUAAAAUGUAAGAGAUUGUUAACAAUAUAAUACCAGCACUUGUCCAGGGCUGCAGAGUGCAUUCCCAGACGUUAUCUCACCAAUCCCCACACCAACCUGUGAGGUGGCGGAUCAUUCGUCUUUCAUUCGUUCCCACUGCGGUCUCCUUGGUGACAUUUCCCAGCCGUUCGCAGCCUUGUAGCCACUCAUUUCCCUUUACUGCCGACUCUCCCCCUCCACUGUUACACAUUGCUGCUUUCUGCCUCGAUGCCCACACAAUAAACCCGUUGCAAAAUCC